UGGGGAAUUUUGGACAAUGGGCGAAAGCCUGAUCCAGCAAUGCCGCGUGUGUGAAGAAGGCCUUCGGGUUGUAAAGCACUUUUGUCCGGAAAGAAAUCCUUGGCUCUAAUACAGUCGGGGGAUGACGGUACCGGAAGAAUAAGCACCGGCUAACUACGUGCCAGCAGCCGCGGUAAUACGUAGGGUGCAAGCGUUAAUCGGAAUUACUGGGCGUAAAGCGUGCGCAGGCGGUUUGCUAAGACCGAUGUGAAAUCCCCGGGCUCAACCUGGGAACUGCAUUGGUGACUGGCAGGCUAGAGUAUGGCAGAGGGGGGUAGAAUUCCACGUGUAGCAGUGAAAUGCGUAGAGAUGUGGAGGAAUACCGAUGGCGAAGGCAGCCCCCUGGCAAGUACUGACGCUCAUGCACGAAAAGCGUGGGGGAGCAAAGCAGGAUUAGAUACCCUGGUAGUCCACGCCCUAAAACGAUGUCAACUAGUUGUUGGGGAUUCAUUUCCUUAGUAACGUAGCUAACGCGUGAAGUUGACCGCCUGGGGAGUACGGUCACAAGAUUAAAAACUCAAAGGAAUUGACGGGGUCAUAGCUGUUUCCU
rnacentral:rRNA from 1 species